GUGUCAGCAGCCGCGGUAAUACGUAGGGUGCGAGCGUUAAUCGGAAUUACUGGGCGUAAAGCGUGCGCAGGCGGUGAUGUAAGACAGAUGUGAAAUCCCCGGGCUCAACCUGGGAACUGCAUUUGUGACUGCAUCGCUGGAGUGCGGCAGAGGGGGAUGGAAUUCCGCGUGUAGCAGUGAAAUGCGUAGAUAUGCGGAGGAACACCGAUGGCGAAGGCAAUCCCCUGGGCCUGCACUGACGCUCAUGCACGAAAGCGUGGGGAGCAAACAGGAUUAGAUACCCUGAUAGUCCACGCCCUAAACGAUGUCAACUGGUUGUUGGGUCUUCACUGACUCAGUAACGAAGCUAACGCGUGAAGUUGACCGCCUGGGGAGUACGGCCGCAAGGUUGAAACUCAAAUGAAUUGACGGGG
rnacentral:rRNA from 1 species